rnacentral:lncRNA from 1 species
UAGUACUCAUAUAAUAUAUAUUAUCUGUCUUUUAACAUUUUUCGUACACGUAAAACGAGGUGAAUUCAAGAUCUGAAGUUCUGUUUAUAGUUUGGGAUUUUUCUUUCUUGAAGUUAUUUUUAUUUCGUGUUUUAUUACGAUUUUGUUUACUGUCUUUUUUGUCCUGAGCCGAGGGUCUAUCGGAAACAAUCAGUGGUAUGGACUGCGUAUACUGUACCCUCCCAGACCUCACUAUGUGAGAAUACACUGAGUAUAUUGUUGUUGUACGUGCUAGCUAUAACUGAAUUUUUUAAGACAAACACAGUGUUUAGACACUGCUUGUUUUUGUUGUUGUCGUCGUCUUUUUUAUCUGUUUUGAGCCGAGGGUCUAUCGGCAAUAGUCUCGCCUUCUUUUUACGGAAAAGGUAAGGUCAGCCUACACACGACCAUCCUCAGACCCCACUUAUGAUUUACAUCGGAUACGUUGUUAUUGUUUUACAAUGUUUAGACAAAAUCUACUGUGUUCUACCGAACUCGUACUAUGGUUGAGAUCUUAUAAUUCAGUUUUAUCAUAUUAUCUGUCUUUUAAAGUUUUUGCACGUUUAGUAAGAAAUAUUUGAAAGCUUUAUUGGGAGAUGGAGUUCUUGUGUUACGUGUUCAACCAAACUCAAUAUCGUUUAUAUAAUGGGCUUAAUACUAAAAUCUUUGAAAAUUGAAUCCAUUAAAUUUAAAUCUUAAAUUCGCGUCUCGAUAGUAUUAAAGGGUACUAUUUGUUUAAAUUACCCUGCAUCUCCCCCUUAAAGGUCAUAUAACUUUAUUAACGUAUACUCCCUCCGUCCCAUUUUAUUCAUUCCAAAUUUUUUAAUUUGGUGUCCCAUUUUACUUGUUCUUUUUUACUUAUCAAGAUAAGAUAAAUUUUUUUUUUUUUUCAUAUUUUACCCUUUGCAUUAAUUACUUUUUUUUUUUUUUUAAAUUAAAAUGUAAACAUCAUUUAAUAGGGGUACUACGAUAAACCAGCCAUAUUAUUUAUUAUUUUUCUUAAUAGCUGUGUCAUUCCAAUUUAGGACGAGUAAAAUGGGACGGAGGGAGUAGUUGUUAAUAUUAUUUGAUUGAUCUUGAUGAAAUUAUGAUGUUUUUUGAGUUUUUUCUUUUAAUACAAAUUUGUUUUGUGACCAUAUGACUUUUAACCUACCAGUAGGGGACAAACCUAGUGGGAUAAGUUCACUUCAAAAAGUGAAAAUUUACUUACUCUAGUGAGUUAGUUAUGCAACUAAUAAAUGAUUUAUUUGCUUAAGUAAUCACCCAAAAGUGAGAAAAAAGUUGUGAAUGAAAUCCUUCAAUGUGUCAUCAAGCCACAACUCCAUAAUGGUCUUUGCUUUUAACAUCACUAAACCAUCAACCAACUCCCCCUCCCCCACUCCCUCCCCAUCCCCAUGNNNNNNNNNNNNNNNNNNNNNNNNNNNNNNNNNNNCACCCCCACCCCGACCCCCAAAGUCCCACUUACCAAAAAAAGGGGAAAAAAGAUCUAAUAUAUACCAAAACUUUGGUGAAAUUGCCUGUAAUAUAUCUGAACUUUGCUUGGGGGGUCCUAUAACGCUUCUGAAUUAUUUGUUAGUGUAUUUUAGUGACAUUUAUAAGCUAAUAAAAAAUAAAAUAUGAUAGUAAAUUUUUAAAAAAGAGUCUAUUGCAAAUAAAUGUAAGUAAAAUACGCUAAUAAAUAGUAUAGAAGGGUCAUAACACCCCCACAAAGUUCGGGAGAGGAGGGUUCUAUACAAUAAAUUUUGUCAAAAUUAAGAUACAUUUGAGACCAUUUUCCAAAAAAAUAAAAAGUAAAGAGGAGAAAAUUAAAAGUUUUUUUCUUUGGUUGCCUUGCCCCUAUUCUAAGGUUAGUGUUUGGGGCCAGAAUGUUUGUUUGUAUUGUUUUUAAUAAUAGAGGUGUAGGCCAAUUUGUAUGUAUUUCGAUUAUUUUAUUGAAUCUGUUUUUAGUAUGGGCCAAAAAUCUUUUUGUCUUUAUUAAACUUCAUGUUUAAUUAUAUACGACACGUCAUAUAAAAUGAAAUAUAUGAAUACUGCUUUUACUUUUCAAUAUUCUUAGUCAUAAAUAUAUCAUGACAUGUUAUAAGAUCGUGAGUUUUAAGGGUGUUUUUACAUAUUAUGCAUAUGAAUUCUUUAUUUUUUUUAUAGAUUUUGUGUACAGUCAAAUACCGUCAUAAAAAAUGAAACAAAUGAAUACCAUUUUUAUUUUGUAGUAUAUUUUUAUAUCCAUACAAAUAUUGUGACAUAUUAUA